rnacentral:piRNA from 1 species
UACUAAUGAUUGAGAAGUUUAUCUCAGC